rnacentral:tRNA from 1 species
GCCGGCAUAGCUCAAUUGGCAGAGCAANNGUAGGUUGUAGGUUCGAUUCCUAUUACCGGCU